rnacentral:rRNA from 1 species
CUUCCUACGGGAGGCAGCAGUGGGGAAUAUUGCACAAUGGGGGAAACCCUGAUGCAGCGACGCCGCGUGAGUGAAGAAGUAAUUCGUUAUGUAAAGCUCUAUCAGCAGGGAAGAAAAUGACGGUACCUGAGUAAGAAGCCCCGGCUAACUACGUGCCAGCAGCCGCGGUAAUACGUAGGGGGCAGGCGUUAUCCGGAUUUACUGGGUGUAAAGGGCGUGCAGCCGGAGAGACAAGUCAGAUGUGAAAUCCACGGGCUCAACCCGUGAACUGCAUUUGAGACUGUUUCCCUUGAGUGUC